AGGUAUCUCAUUGUUUAAAUGAGAUCAUGGAAUUGUGCCUGUCAUUUUGCGCACUGCUGUCCCACGCUCAUUCAACAAUGUCAGAAAGAGAGCUUAAUCAGAUUCAAAAUAUCAAGAAGGUAAAGUCUGAGGACACAGAGGGCAGGUGUCUCCCCUCCCCCUCUUUUCAUGGAAAAGUGCCCCAUUUUUGGAAUGAAAUGCCAAUAUUUCCAAAGCUGCCCAACAUUGUCUUUCUUGUUUACAGUCGAUUUCAACUUACUUUUCACUCAAAUGUUCCGAACUUCGUUCCGAACUUCGCAAAUUCGUUGCCAAGUUCAAAAGUUCAUAAUGAAAUUUACAAACUGGUUUGUAAACGAAGCCUCUGAUUGGCUAUUAAAUCAAACCAGCCAAUCAAAUGCCCACUUUACAAACCCGUUUGUGAAUUUCAUUAUGAACCUUUGAACUUGGCAACGAAUUUGCGAAGUUCGGAACGAAGUUCGGAACAUUUGAGUGAAAAGUAAGUUGAAAUUGACUGUAAAGCCUUGGUCGAACGAGAUGAGAGUUGAUGAGAGUUGAGAAGUAAGAGUUCGCAUCAGAAUUUUCUCAACACUCACGUCCUGGUCAAACGAGAACAAGAGUUGCAUGAGAGUUGACUGGAUAUUACCACGUGAUAGCGAACACUCUUAUCAACUCUUAAUAAAAUUUGAAUCAGAUCAAAGUUGAUGAGGGUUGAUAGGCAGUUCCAGCUAUAGACUAAAUUUUGAUAUAGGCAAUUAAGAAGAAAAAAAUCCAUCACCACAGCUAGAAAGAGCAUGUCAAAAUUAGUAAAAUUGCAAAGUUUGGUUGCGAAAUGUUGUAAAACGAGGAAAAUAUAGCCCUACGAAAUUUGCAAUUUUUUUUGUACUAAUUUGUAUUACGCGCGGGAAAAUGCACCACAUUUGGGGCGAAAGUGGUGCAUUCUCCCGUGCGUAAUACAAAUUAAUACAAAAUUUGCAAAUUUCGUAGGGCUAUAUUUUCCUCAUUUUACAACAUUUCGCAACAAACUUUGCAAUUUUACUAAUUUUGACAUGCUCUUUCUAGCUGUGGUGAUGGAUUUUGUUCUUCUUGCCUAGAUCAACAUUUAAUCUAUAGCUGGAAUCAACCAUUUGACGGUCAAACGCGAGCGAGAGUUGCAUCAACUCUCAUCGACUCUCGUCAACUGAUCAAUUCAUCAACUCUCGUCAACUGAUCAAUUCAUCAACUGAUCAAUUCAUCAAUUCUCGUCAACUGAUCAAUUCAUCAACUCUCAUCAACUCUCAUCAACUGAUCAAUUCAUCAACUCUCGUCAACUCUCAUCAACUGAUCAAUUCAUCAACUCUCGUCAACUGAUGAAUUCAUCAACUCUCAUCAACUCUCGUCAACUGAUCAAUUCAUCAACUCUCAUCAACUCUCAUCGACUGAUCAAUUCAUCAACUCUGAUCAACUCUCAUCAACUGAUCAACUCUGAUCAACUCUCAUCAACUGAUCAAUUCAUCAACUCUGAUCAACUCUCAUCAACUGAUCAAUUCAUCAACUCUCAAUCUCUCAUCCUCGUUUUAUUAGGGCUUACCACUUACGGUAUAUUUUCUUUGCCUAUUCAAUUAGAAUUACGCACGGCAAUCGUCGUUGCUGCUGAAGUUAUUCUCUGGUGUAAGAAGUCAUCAAGCCAGUCCCCAUUUGGCGCAGUUCUUACUUCGGAUUGAUUUCAAUAAGUAUUUUUCAUCCUCGCAAACUGGACUUCACAAACAAAGUUAGACCAUAGCUAAUUUGGGUUUCUACGAACCAGUCAAUUGACAAAUUUGGCCAACGUUGUUUACAGCGUUGCCACCCAAUUUACAACUUUUAAAUAGAUAACAGGUAUAAACAAACGUUAGCCAAAUUUGUCUAUUAUAUUAUUAUAUGAUAACGACAUUAAAUAAUGCAUUACAAUUCAAGAUGGUGUCGCACCAUAGUAUUGUUUUACCAUCAUAGUUAGUAGAAUAAAUGGUUUGGAACAUCAUUAGAACAACAACAUAACUCAUUAUCUAUGUUAGUCAACGUUUAUUCAUAAAUCUGGUCGUUCACCGUCACGUGCAUAUUGUAUUUUUGCCAAAUCCACCAAUAUCAAUUUCCAAUUUACCCUAUUGUUCGAGUCACAGAUAGGUACUGUAACUUUCCUAAAACAUUGCUGUUGGUUAGUUGGGCUAAAAUACAAUACACACGUGACGGUGAACGGAUUUAUGAAUAAACUAUGACUAACAUAGAUAAUGAGUUAUAUUGUUAUUCUAAUGAGUUUCCAAAUCAUCUAUUCCGGUUAACUAUGGCCAUAGACCCAAAGUACCGUAGUAUCAUGAUAACCAUAGUACCUUAGUAUAGUACCUUGCUUGGUGUCGUUCAGGGGCGGCGGAACAGGGGGGGCUAGGGGGGCUAAAGCCCCCCCAGAAGUAAAAGUGGGGGGGCUUAGCCCCCCCAGAAAAUUUGAAUUUUUCGAAAAAAUUUUGAAAAUUAGGGAAAAAUUUAGGUUAUUUUUUGAAAAUUUAGGUAUAAGGGGACAAAUU